GUCUUAAGAAUAUUCCUCGAAAUAGUAGUGGAUAGUUGUGGCCAGGUGGAAAAGGCUACUACUUGGAAGCUUGUGAUGUCCCAGCAGUCCCAGCAGCAUCGAACAAGUCUGGUUGGGUCGUCAAGUAAGACAACACUCUCAGGAAGAAAAAUGAUAUUACUCUGUACCUUUUCUUGUUGCUGGGGUGCUGUUGGGCCUAGGUGAGUAUAUUAAUGGUACCUCCAAUGAUUUUUAAAGGUACACAUGUCCAAGUGAAAGAUAGAAACUAAAGGUAUGAAAGAUCAGCAACAUAGAAAGAUAAAGGUCAGUACCUUUUUGUUUUACCAAAAACAGCAAAUGUAAAAUUUCCUAUAAAAUGUUCCAGCUGUCAUCACUGCUUCAUAUUAACCUACAUUUUCCAUUUUUGUUUGCAGGCCGAAGGUCCUUUUUUUCCAUAGGAAAACAGCUACCAUGACUACCAUUAAGCCAUUUCAAGAACAGUGACAUUUCGCAGACAGUCUGUUUUUACAUUGCAGGAAAUAACCUCAUCUGAUAGCUUGGACAUCUUCAAUAGAUAUACACCCGGCAUGUAAUCUAAGGAAGUAGUUUACAGAAAUUUUGGGGUUGGAUGAUGAAGCAUGGUGCCGAACAUAAUUUAUUUUUUCCCUUCCUAGCUCAUAACUAUGAAGUCCCAAGAAUAAUGACCCACCAAUAGCUCUUAACCUUACCAACCUCCUUGAGCGUACAUCUCUUAUAUCUCUAGAUGGAAAAGAAGCAGUAAUUCCUUUUUCUUUUUUUUGUAAUACAUAAUUUCCUGCAGGCGAACUUAAGGAAAUAAAAAGUAAUAUUUUUUCUAUCUUCUGAGCCUCAAGUCAAAUCCUUGACCUCAUCCAAUAGCAGUGGUCCAGAUGAGGCUUUUCAUACACUAUACCACAUCAAUAAGAUUUUUCUUUUUUUUAUUGCCCAUGCCUUAUGUCUGGCUGUGACAGGAGAUUAUUACACAGUAGAGAGGACAGUUUAUUAUAUCAAGCAAAAAAAACCCAAACCAAAAAGCAAAGAAAGCUCUCGGCAUACAGUAUUGUUUCCGAAUUUGACAAGAUAAUAACUGUGUCGCAAGCUAGAAAUGCAUGUUUAUUGCAAGAAUACAAGGUAUUAAAAAUAAAGACACGGUUAUGGUACGCCCUGACUCCAAGCCUGAGAAUUCAGACUGGUGGAUAAAUCUUCUGAAAAUAAACUUGUCACAAUCAAGAAGGAGAGUGGAGUGCAGAAACUAAUUAGAACGGUCUUUAUUUUCCAGAGACGGGACGGUGAACUUUAAUUCAUGCUGGCUGGAGGAGGAGCAGAUUCAUUUAUUUGGGUAAUUGAGGAUCCUGAUUAGCUGUCUGCGACGGAGAGAGGAGGGAGAGAAUGAUUACUCUGAAAUCCAAGCUGAGUAACAAACCCAAUCUCCUUCUUCUACUUUCCCCUCAUAUUGCUCUUUUAAUCUCAGCCAGCCAUGGCUAUUGAGAACGGAAGAGAUAUAGCGAGGAAGCCUUUUGCUUGCGAGGUAUACAAAGCCGGCCUUUCUCUCUCUUUUUUUUUAGCGCAAGUAUUUGAUUUAUAUGUAACUAUAAUACUUAUGUGGAAGAUCUUUACAGCUUGCCAUGCAUUAUAGAUUGACACCUCUGCAAUGCUUACCUUGAAAGUCGGAGUCAUAGAGGCAUGAGAAAGAUAGACACACACCCAGUAUAUACUACAUAAAGCGUGUCUGACUCUCAGGAGACCUUUACUGACUGCUCACUAGGAACAUCAGAAUCAAGUAUGUGUUCUCAAAUCCCCGAGCAGCAAACAACGGAAUAAAGAGGAUAUAAAAGAUGAUGGAAAGGGUCAGGUAGAAAAGGUAAUGUGAACAAAUAUGAAUAAGAUUGUGUGGCAAUAAAAAAAUAAAUUUUAUGUCGAAAUAUGGGAAACAAAGAGGAUAAGGAGUGACAUAAACGUACGCAAAAUAGAUCACAGUGUUUAACCAGUCGGCAUCAGAAGUCUCAAUUCGUCUAAUGGAGUCCACCUGUGUGCAGUGGUUACAGCUGAAGAGCAUAUCCAAAUAAGCAAGGACAACCUGAAUGAAGCAUUAGGUUGGUAGCAUCACCAGCUAAGCAUUACAAAGCCUCCAUCCUUAAGGACCUCGAAUGUGUCCUAAUGGUACACCUGGGCAGCAAGGAAAAGACCAGUUUGCUACCUUUAUUGCUGGGAGUACAGUAUUAAAAGAUUUAUUUCUCUUCCAUCAUCCCAGGAUAGGUCUUUUGGGGACUCCAUAUGAUAACCAGCUAGGUUUGAAAAUGAAAUAUCUCCUUGAUUUGAUGCUCGACCUUUGACCUUCUCCAAAUAUGCCUCUUUGGCUGCAGACUUUACCCAUUUGGAACAUGCAUUGGAUGAAAAGAGCCCCGAAGAUGUAGCUUCUUUCCACUUUCACCCUUCUUGCUCAGAUCCCUAAAGCUGUAUCUCAGGAGGGGGGAAGGGACUAUAAAAGUUAUCAGAGGAUUCUAUCGCAGGCACUCCGUCUGGGGCCUGAUGAGAUUCUAACUGUCCUCUGUGAGAGACUCAUAAAGCCUCCAGUACAGUUUAAAAGCCACAGUGGUAUGGGACACCGAUAACCAGGAUACACCUUGGCUGUAAUAACUUUAGCAAGAUGCCUGACAGUAAGCCUGCAGAUCAGAGAAGCGAUAUCCUGGAGGAGACUGUCACGCUGCCACGAAAGCGGCUCACUGUUUCACGGUGCUGGAAUUGUGCUCUUCCUAACAGGUUGAUGAAUAUCAGAACGAGGCUUACUCCGGGUUGCAUCAUGCAAACGGAUGUCUUUGAAAGAGCAUUUCCAUGCAAUCUGGAGAAGCCUAUGACUUUAUUAUUCUGGGCUAAACUCAUGUAUUGUCCAAUCACAGGCAGCAUGAAGGAUGACUUAUGUAAUCCGCUCAAGGCCUUUUUUUUUCUGUCAGUAAAUCACUAAAGAUUUAUUCAUGUUGAGACUGCAGUGCAAUCCAGUCUACAAUAAAAGAAUAGGGGCAAAUUAACUAAAUAAAAAAAAUAACAAACUCGA